UACGGGAGGCAGCAGUGGGGAAUAUUGCACAAUGGGCRAAAGCCUGAUGCAGCAACGCCGCGUGAGGGACGACGGCCUUCGGGUUGUAAACCUCUUUUAGCAAGGAAGAAGCGAAAGUGACGGUACUUGCAGAAAAAGCGCCGGCUAACUACGUGCCAGCAGCCGCGGUAA
rnacentral:rRNA from 1 species